GAUCAAAAAAGUUUUAACACAGAGAAAGGGGGGGGGGUCAUAAAAGUUUUUGAACUUAAAUACCAUGUCUAGAGUUCUGAUUUCUAUAAUCACAAAUAGCAAAAAAGAAGACUCUGAAAAUGCUAUUUCCAACAAUCUAGAUACUCAAAAUUUCCCUGCUCUGGGGUGGACAUCUACAAAAAAGGACCAUACUAUAUUGAGUGCGGAGAGAUGACAGAUGGUUGUUGGUGACAAAAAGUUUGGUGCGGUAUUGUAUGUACUAGUAGGGGGGUCCGGGGAUUCUCCCUCAGAAAAUGUUUUGUAUUUUUCCACCCCUAGAACUGAAAUGUAAGCAUUUUCUGAAACAGAUUUUUGGAUAUACAACGUUACAUUGUGUGUUGAUAGACCGAAUCUGAUCAGUUAAGUGUAUUUGCAUGGUAUGUUUAUGUAAAUAACACAACUGGGUCACUCAGGGGGUAGCAAGCUUGUUAAACUUUGUGUGCCCGACUCCCAUGAUUGCGAGGCGCUACCAUGGUUGGUGCCCAGACAAGUUCUUAAAAAAACGCUGUGUUCAAAUCAUUUUGCUGUAUGAAGAUGGGUCAUGGGUUAGGGUUAUGGUGGGACAAAUGUUGCAUUGCAAAGUAGUAACACAUAAUAUAUAUUUUUAAUCACAUAUGGUUGAAUCAUAUUCACCAGGGUAAAACAUCAUGAGCUAGAUUAAACAGAUUGUCCUAAUAUCUAACUUUACAUGCAAUGCACACCUGUUUCAUUGCUGUUAAUUUUUCAAUCCACACUGGGGGUCAGAAAAGUUUCUACUUUUAUGAGGGGGGAGACACAACAAGUUUGCCUUCAGUCUGGAGGGGGGUCAAAAAAGUUUUCAAUCCUUAUUUUCCCCAUAUCCCAACACCCCCCACUCCCCAUAAAUAAUGACCACUCCCUAAUCUCCCCGGGGUUCACAGGAAGAACACACAGAUAAAAUACCAAAUUCCCCCUUGUUUCCCCCCCCAGUUGUCCCAGGGUGUACCCCCCGGACAGGCCGUUCAUAUGUGCAUAAUUCUCUUUCAAAUUGUAUAAAAAGUAUGUUGUUCCUUUUGCAUUUCUACUAUACAUAUAAUUUUAAUGUAUAAAUUUGUGAACACAGCCAUGCUUUGUUGAAACGAAAC
rnacentral:lncRNA from 1 species